AAACUACUCCCUCCGUCCGUAAAUACUUGUCCUAAAAGUAGAUGUAUCUAGACUUAUUUUAGUUAUAGAUACAUUCAUUUUGUACAUUUCUAGGACAUGUAUUUCCGGACGGAGGGAGUAUUUA
rfam:Hordeum vulgare subsp. vulgare, WGS project CAJW01000000 data, contig: morex_contig_1576477